UGAAGCUGAGCAGCCGCUACUCACGCCGCUACCCGUGUCCCCUCUGCGGCGGCUCGCUCCCCAUUCCCUCUCCUCACAAACCGGGAGAUCUGCGGCCGACACAACCCGGCCCGCCCCGGGCGCGGUCCCAACCGCUUCCGCACCUUCUGAGGGGAAAGCGGCAGCGGGGGCGGCUUCCCGCCCGCGCACAGCCUGAGGCGGGCAAAGGAGUCCCCGCCUGAGGUAACCCUGUCUGAGGGGAUCAGAGGCGUCCCCGCAUGAGGUGUCCCUGCUUGAGAUUGGGAGAGGUGUCCUCACCUGAGGGGAGCAGAGGAGUCCCCGCCUGAGGUGUCCCCCGCCUGAGGUGUCCCCACCUGGGAUGUCCCUGCCUGAGCGCAGUCCUGAGGCCUCCAGAUACCAUUGCCAGCCUUAAUAAAACCUAAUAAAACUUAAUAAAACAGGUCUAUGUGGAGGACUCCGUUUCCCGCCCUCCGGCGCUGCCUCUGAGGUGUCUCUGGUGGCACCAGGAAUCCCCACGGUAACAAAAUCAGUAUUCAGAUCUGUCGCUUUGAUGUCAUAUGAAUAACAGCUUUGCAGCAGAUUUAAUUUCAACUACCUAAGGUUUUUCUUAGCAGUACCUGAGUCAACUUGGAAUGCUUCUCUUAGAAAAUCAGUGUCCACAAAGAAGUCCUAAGGAAAGCUGGAAGUAUCACUCUACUUGUAGCACCUUUCUACAAUAUUGCUGUGUUGCCUUCAUCCACAUCCAGUGGCAUUUUAGUUAAGGAGUGAACUUUGGAAACCAAUCUCUUCAUCUUCCCUUCCAAAUGAUUUGGAUCUUAUUGCAGAGCAGAUCUGAGAGUAAAACAAGUCUUAACCACCAAUCAGCUGAAGUUUUGACUUUUGUGGACACCCUAUAGAUGAAAUGAAGCAUCUACCAUGACUUGAGCACA